AUAAUUAAAUUGAUUGAGUAGUAUAAACUUAAUUUUCUAAAAAAGUUCUACUAACUCAAAUGUUUUGCGUUUCUGAGACUUUUUUUAAAUUGUGAGUAAAUUAAACUCAAUAUUUUUAAUUUACUGAAACUAUUUGCAGAUUAAGUUGAUUUUCACUUAAGAGUAUAAUUUCAAUGUACUUAUUUUUGUUGUUUCAACUGUCAAGCGUCUGACAUCAGUAACGUGUGCGUGCGUGUGUCAGUGUCAUUAAAUGAUAUAAAUUUUAAAAUGGUUAACAUUUAAAAUAUACACACACAUUCACUUCAAAUUAGGGUCUCAGAAUUGUAAUUUCAUUGACCAUGCCAGUGGGUUCAACAUUAGAUGUUUAUUUGAAUUUAUCACAGAUAACAUUAAUAUACGUUUGAAAAAAGUUUAAUUUUGAAUUAGGUUAGGUCCAUCAUUUUAUUGGCUUACGACACUCACGUGGUCCAAGAUCAGCGCGUGCGUGAGAACCGGAACGCGCAACGUGGGAAUGACGUUGCCGGCUUGGCGCCACAAUUGACUGCAUUCGAACUUCAAGCUGUCGGCAGUAAUCAGCACCAUCGGUUUCACGGUGGCUGGCUGCAAAAUGAUUUGGCAGUAAAGAGGAUGCAGACAGCAUUUGACCUGCGGCAACAGACCAUAGUGAAGACAUGCCCACCAGUGAAAAACCUUAUGGAACUCUGGCCUGCACUCAAAUAGAGUCUGAGGUGUAUUUAGACUUCCAACGAAUUACAAUACAGAACCUGCCCAACAUAUUCUGCUCUGAGCUUGACCGACAUCCUCUUCCUGAAAAGAGUCAUCAGUCU